AAUUACUGGGCGUAAAGGGUGCUUACGUGGUUUUUUAAGUUAUCUGUGAAAUCCCUGGGCUCAACCUGGGAAGGUCAGAUAAUACUGUUUAACUCGAGUAUGGGAGAGGGUAGUGGAAUUUCCGGUGUAGCGGUGAAAUGCGUAGAGAUCGGAAGGAACACCAGUGGCUAAGGCGGCUACCUGGCCUAAUACUGACACUGAGGCACGAAAGCGUGGGGAGCAAACAGGAUUAAUACCGUGGUAGUCCACGCUGUAAACGAUGUCCCUCCUG
rnacentral:rRNA from 1 species